rnacentral:rRNA from 1 species
GACGAACGCUGGCGGCGUGCCUAAUACAUGCAAGUCGAGCGCAGGAAGUCAUCCGAACCCUUCGGGGGGACGUUGACGGAAUGAGCGGCGGACGGGAGAGUAACACGUAAAGAACCUGCCCUCAGGUCUGGGAUAACCACGAGAAAUCGGGGCUAAUACCGGAUGGGUCAUCGGACCGCAUGGUCCGAGGAUGAAAGGCGCUCCGGCGUCGCCUGGGGAUGGCUUUGCGGUGGAUUAGCUAGUUGGUGGGGUAAGGGCCCACCAAGGCGACGAUGCUUAGCCGACCUGAGAGGGUGAUCGGCCACACUGGGACUGAGACACGGCCCAGACUCCUACGGGAGGCAGCAGUAGGGAAUCUUCCACAAUGGACGAAAGUCUGAUGGAGCAACGCCGCGUGAACGAUGAAGGCCCUCGGGUCGUAAAGUUCUGUUGUAAGGGAAGAACAAGUGCCGCAGGCAAUGGCGGCACCUUGACGGUACCUUGCGAGAAAGCCACGGCUAACUACGUG